rnacentral:sRNA from 1 species
AAUACGAAUUCUAAACCGUAGACAGCGGGUGCGAAAGCUUAAUUUCCCGCCGAGGUACAAUAUAAAAUAUUGGCCUUGUCCGUCUCGGACAGGGCUUUUUUAU